GGAUUAGAUACCCUGGUAGUCCACGCUGUAAACGAUGAUCACUAGCUGUUGGCGAUACACUGUCAGCGGCUGAGCGAAAGUAUUAAGUGAUCCACCUGGGGAGUACGAUCGCAAGGUUGAAACUCAAAGGAAUUGACGGGUGCCCGCACAAGCGGAGGAGCAUGUGGUUUAAUUCGAUGAUACGCGAGGAACCUCACCUAGGCUUAAAUGCUUUUUGACCGUCCUGGAAACAGGAUUUCCCUUCGGGGCAAAUUGCAAGGUGCUGCAUGGUUGUCGUCAGCUCGUGCCGUGAGGUGUCGGGUUAAGUCCCAUAACGAGCGCAACCCCUAUUCUUAGUUGCCAUCAGGUAAUGCUGGGAACUCUAAGGAAACUGCCUACGCAAGUAGUGAGGAAGGUGGGGAUGACGUCAAAUCAGCACGGCCCUUACGCCUAGGGCUACACACGUGCUACAAUGGCCAGCAUAGUGGGUUGCUACCUGGUAACAGGAUGCUAAUCUCUAAAUCUGGUCUCAGUUCGGAUUGAAGUCUGCAACUCGACUUCAUGAAGUUGGAUUCGCUAGUAAUCGCGCAUCAGCAAUGGCGCGGUGAUACGUUCCCGGGCAUUGACACACCGCCCGUCAAGCCAUGGAAGCUGGGAGUGCCUGAAGUCUGUAACCG
rnacentral:rRNA from 1 species